ACGCUAGCGGCAGCCUAACACAUGCAAGUCGAACGGUAACUUUUGGUGCUUGCACCGAAAGACGAGUGGCGAACGGGUGCGUAACGCGUAUGCAAUCUACCUUUUACUAGAGUAUAGCCCAGAGAAAUUUGGAUUAAUCCUCUAUAAUAUCAUUUAUUCGCAUGAAUUUAUGAUUAAAGCUUCGGCGGUAAAAGAUGAGCAUGCGUCCUAUUAGUUAGUAGGUGAGGUAAUGGCUCACCUAGACUGCGAUAGGUAGGGGUCCUGAGAGGGAGAUCCCCCACACUGGUACUGAGACACGGACCAGACUCCUACGGGAGGCAGCAGUGAGGAAUAUUGGACAAUGGACGAAAGUCUGAUCCAGCUAUGCCGCGUGCAGGAUGACAGCCCUACGGGUUGUAAACUGCUUUUAUACAGGAAGAAAAACUUCGACGUGUCGAAGCUUGACGGUACUGUAAGAAUAAGGAUCGGCUAACUCCGUGCCAGCAGCCGCGGUAAUACGGAGGAUCCAAGCGUUAUCCGGAAUCAUUGGGUUUAAAGGGUCCGCAGGCGGUUUUUUAAGUCAGAGGUGAAAUCCUGCAGCUCAACUGUAGAAUUGCCUUUGAUACUGAAAGACUUGAGUUAUUGUGAAGUGGUUAGAAUGUGUGGUGUAGCGGUGAAAUGCAUAGAUAUCACACAGAAUACCAAUUGCGAAGGCAGAUCACUAACAAUAUACUGACGCUCAGGGACGAAAGCGUGGGUAGCGAACAGGAUUAGAUACCCUGGUAGUCCACGCCGUAAACGAUGGAUACUAGCUGUAUGUCUACCUCAGGUAGAUGUGUGGCUAAGCGAAAGUGAUAAGUA
rnacentral:rRNA from 1 species